rnacentral:lncRNA from 12 species
GCAUUGCAUUAGCCUGCUACCACUUUUUCAACAAAUCAAAGAAGAUUCCUUAAACCUCACAGGCCAUCUGUUACGGACACCCUCUCCUUCUGGGAGUUAUGCCACCUGUCCCUCCAGCCGUGAAGUCCCCACACAGAGCCAGCAGAGUUCUACACGGAUGGCAGCCCGCCGGAGCCCACGGUGGUGGGGAGCCGCGGCCCAGGGCCCCUCCAGCAGGAGACCUGCCUUCCCACUACAUCCUCGCACCCAAGAAGGCCUGGCGCCCAGCUGCUCCACAGACACCCAGCAAACUAAUCCACUCCUCAGUUCCCAGCUUCGGGAAACUGGGAAGGUCAGUGUGGCUUCUAAAGACACCUCACUUAGGGCAGGGGAUGACUCGGCCACAGGUUUAAGGGAGAGAAAGCCAGUACAUCACUUCUGGCAUCAGAUUUGCGGGCUGGUUUCCAUUGCUCGGAGGUGGCAAGAUGUGUCACCUCCACAGAUUCCAUACAGUAAUGAGCCAUUCAGGAAAAAGGACUUAGCUCCCCACCCGAGGCGGCUCCCAAGUGGAGGGGAAGAGAGAUUUCUUCUUUCUGUAGCAUCGAGCUCUUGGGCAGGUUCCAGACGUGUCCCCCCUAAAUCUCUUGCUCAGCUUGUCCUGCCGGGGGUCUGCCUCCUGGAGGGCCUGACACACACCACGGGACAACCUGGGUGGCUCCCAUGGUGGGUGAUUUCCUCUUUCCAGCACCUCCACGGCCAAUCCCCAAGCCGGCAGGGCCCAGGCCCCUGCACUUUCUCAAGGAAGCUCCUGGAAGCCUUGUCAUCCUAUUUGCAACUUGAGAAGCACGAUCAGCGAAUACGUGCCCAACGGUGCUGGUGCUGGGAGAGCUCUGGGCUCCCCGGGGGGGCCCAGGACAGGAGGGGAGCCGGCCCAGGUGCUCGGCAGUGA